GGCUAGUCCGACUGCAGUGGUGUUUACAACGAAGUGAUCACAAUCAGCUACAGAUGUCUUUGUUCUUUCUCCACUCUCUCUGCUUCAUUUUGACUAGCCGAAA
ensembl:Y_RNA Y_RNA Y RNA